CCUACGGGAGGCAGCAGUGGGGAAUAUUGCACAAUGGGGGAAACCCUGAUGCAGCGACGCCGCGUGAGUGAAGAAGUAAUUCGUUAUGUAAAGCUCUAUCAGCAGGGAAGAAAAUGACGGUACCUGAGUAAGAAGCCCCGGCCACCUACGUGCCAGCAGCCGCGGUAUUACGUAGGGGGCAAGCGUUAUCCGGAUUUACUGGGUGUAAGGGGAGCGUAGACGGGAGUGCAAGUCUGGAGUGAAAGGCGGGGGCUCAACGCCCGGACUGCUCUGGAAACUGUACGGCUGGAGUGCAGGAGAGGUAAGUGGAAUGCGUGGUGUAGCGGUGAAAUGCGUAGAUAUUAGGAGGAACACCAGUUGCGAAGGCGGCUUACUGGACUGUAACUGACGUUGAGGCUCGAAAGCGUGGGGAGCAAACAGGAUUAGAUACCCGGGUAGUC
rnacentral:rRNA from 1 species